rnacentral:rRNA from 1 species
AACGAACGCUGGCGGCAGGCUUAACACAUGCAAGUCGAGCGCCCCGCAAGGGGAGCGGCAGACGGGUGAGUAACGCGCGGGAAUCUACCCAUCUCUACGGAAUAACGCAUGGAAACGUGUGCUAAUACCGUAUACGUCCUUCGGGAGAAAGAUUUAUCGGAGAUGGAUGAGCCCGCGUUGGAUUAGCUAGUUGGUGGGGUAAAGGCCUACCAAGGCGACAAUCCGUAGCUGGUCUGAGAGGAUGAUCAGCCACACUGGGACUGAGACACGGCCCAGACUCCUACGGGAGGCAGCAGUGGGGAAUAUUGGACAAUGGGCGCAAGCCUGAUCCAGCCAUGCCGCGUGAGUGAUGAAGGCCCUAGGGUUGUAAAGCUCUUUCACCGGUGAAGAUAAUGACGGUAACCGGAGAAGAAGCCCCGGCUAACUUCGUGCCAGCCGCCGCGGUAAAAC